rnacentral:rRNA from 1 species
AACUUAGCUUGCUUUCUUUGCUGGCGACCGGCGCACGGGUGAGUAACACGUAUCCAACCUACCCUUUACUCGGGGAUAGCCUUUCGAAAGAAAGAUUAAUACCCGAUAGCAUAAUGAUUCCGCAUGGUUUCAUUAUUAAAGGAUUCCGGUAAAGGAUGGGGAUGCGUUCCAUUAGGUUGUUGGUGGGGUAACGGCCCACCAAGCCUUCGAUGGAUAGGGGUUCUGAGAGGAAGGUCCCCCACAUUGGAACUGAGACACGGUCCAAACUCCUACGGGAGGCAGCAUG